CCUGAAGGGACGUUGAAGACGACGACGUUGAUAGGCCGGGUGUGUAAGCGCAGCGAUGCGUUGAGCUAACCGGUACUAAUGACCCGUGAGGCUUAACCUUACAACGCCAGAGGCGUUU
rnacentral:rRNA from 1 species